UACGUAGGGUGCAAGCGUUGUCCGGAAUUAUUGGGCGUAAAGAGCUCGUAGGCGGUUUGUUGCGUCGGCUGUGAAAUCCCGAGGCUCAACCUCGGGUCUGCAGUCGAUACGAGCAAACUAGAGUGUUGCAGGGGAGACUGGAAUUCCUGGUGUAGCGGUGAAAUGCGCAGAUAUCAGGGAGGAACACCGGUGGCGAAGGCGGGUCUCUGGGCAACAACUGACGCUGGAGGAGCGAAAGCGUGGGGAGCGAACAGG
rnacentral:rRNA from 1 species